AUUGAACGCUGGCGGCGUGCUUUACACAUGCAAGUCGGACGAGUGGCGAACGGGUGAGUAACGCAUCGGAACGUACCGAGUAAUGGGGGAUAACUGUCCGAAAGGACAGCUAAUACCGACUAAUAUUGGAGCGGCCGUUGUUUGAGUAGCUGGUUGGCGGGGUAAAGGCCCACCAAGGCGACGAUCACUAGCGGGUCUGAGAGGAUGAUCCGCCACACUGGGACUGGGACACGGCCCAGACUCCUACGGGAGGCAGCAGUGGGGAAUUUUGGACAAGGGGCGCAAGCCUGAACCAGCCAUGCCGCGUGUCUGAAGAAGGCCUUCGGGUUGUAAAGGACUUUUGUCAGGGAAGCGGUACCUGACGAAUAAGCACCGGCUAACUACGUGCCAGCAGCCGCGGUAAUUC
rnacentral:rRNA from 1 species